UCAUGUCACACUACAGUGUUUGUUUCUAUAGCAACAUAAUUAACUGGAUAUCCAAGAAUAAGCCAGAAUCAAUAACUACAGAUGUUUAUUUAAUGUGGUGUUUCAGGGCAGAGCCUUUAAUUAUGAAACUUGGUCAAAGGCUCAAUUGUGAUUAUUUUUACAACAAAGUUAAAGAACGAUUUGCAGCAAAGCAGAAAAGAUGAAAAAUGUGCAAAACGUUGUUUCUGCCUCUGCACAGAGAGACAGCCCAGCAUCAAGCACUUACAGCAGCACGACUCAGUACAGACCCUGGACCAGCAGACUGACACUGCACACACCUGGACACAAGUUAACAGACUGUGGGUUGUGACCCCCCAGGUGGGACAUGGAGACGCUGCAUAGCUGUGGAUGGAAAAGUGGCCCAUGAUAAAGAGCCCAGUGACAGGUGACAUAUUAGCUCCUGUAUCAAAGUUGGCAGGUUUACUUCCUGCUGACACACCUGGUCUCCCCCAUCAGCUGUCCACCUGUUCAUCCUCCAGCAGUUUGAAAGCUUUAGCAGGGUAAACGUUGAGUCUCUGUCCUCUCUCAUGUUGGCUUGUUUGGUUUGGACCUCUGCAUGUUGUCUCCCCUCUGACCUCCUCAGCCAGUCACUCACAGCUCCUUCAGGAUAACAUGUUGGAGUCACUCUGGGAGAACUCACCUGCCUGCACACUCUGUCCACAUCUCCACCCACACCUUUCCCACUCAGUGUGGGACCACCUGUUCUCUUUGUUAAAGGGAGUUCUUCCUGCCUACUGUCACCAAGUGCUGAUCAUACCAGUGCAUGAGGAGUGAGAUUUCCAACAACAAGCAUCUGAUGGCAGCAGGAAAGCUGAGGAGAGGAGCCGUCACUGACUGUCUGUGUGUAACUGAAUUAUU